AGGAUGAACGCUGGCGGCGUGCCUAAUGCAUGUAAGUCGCACGCGCCGUCUUUCGGGGCGGUGAGUGGCGGACGGCUGAGGAACACGUGGGUGAUCUGCCCCGGGGUGGGGGACAACGCCGCGAAAGCGGCGCUAAUCCCGCAUACGAUCCGCAAGGAUGAAAGCGCGCAAGGGCGCCCUGGGAGGAGCCUGCGGCCCAUCAGGUAGUUGGCGGGGUAACGGCCCACCAAGCCGAUAACGGGUACCUGGUCUGAGAGGACGACCAGGCAGACUGGGACUGAGACACGGCCCAGACUCCUACGGGAGGCAGCAGCAAGGAAUUUCCCAUUGGGCGCAAGCCUGAGGGAGCAACGCCGCGGUGGGGGACGACGGCCGUUCGGGUUAGUAAACCCCUUUUCGUGGGGACGAGUAAUGACAGUACCCUGGAAUAACGCCCCGCUAACUCCGUCGCCAGCACGCCGC
rnacentral:rRNA from 1 species